GAGGGCAUAGCUCAGUGGUAGAGCACAUGCUUAGUAUGCACGAGGUCCUGGGUUCAAUCCCCAGUACCUCCA
rnacentral:tRNA from 1 species